CAAGGAGAAGCCGAUUCCUUCAUGCAGGCAUUGAUUCUACAGCAAGAGUCUGAAGCAAACUAAGGAUCCGGACAGGCAGCCGGAAGCAGGGGCACUCUGAGCACAUUUAAACUCUGAGAAGAAAAUUUAAAAAGUAAAAAUCUGACCGUGACUAGGUACAAAUAAACCUAGGACCCCGGGACCAGUACGUCUGGAGGAGGCCAUCAGCACUGUGGGACCCAGGCCUACCCGACCCCCUUCCACCAGGAGCUCAUUCAAGUCCAGGAGCAUCAUCACCAGCAGCCGCGGCUCGGUGGCAGUGUCCAGAGAGACCUUGGUGGCGUGUUGAGCUGGCAGCGGAUGACACUCCUUAAUCAGUUAAGUAACUAUGUAACUGGAAUGAGAGACCUCGAAGUGUAAAUGAACCUAUGUGGAUGAAGAAUGACGAGAUCCGGACCAACACAGUCACCUAAAUAACUCUAUUCUUAGGACAGAACUUCAAAAGAAUUAUGAAUCACCUGUGUACAUCAUGCCUAAUGCUAACACCUACCCCAAAGGCCCUAUAAAACCCCAAACCCAUAAUGCACCUCCUCUAAGGUUGCCCGCACUCCUUCUUUGUG